UCCAGACUCCUACGGGAGGCAGCAGUGAGGAAUAUUGGUCAAUGGCCGGAAGGCUGAACCAGCCAAGCCGCGUGAAGGACGAAGGUGCCAAGCAUUGUAAACUUCUUUUGUCAAGGGACAAAAUCAGGCUCGAGAGCCUGACCGAGGGUACUUGAAGAAAAAGCAUCGGCUAACUCCGUGCCAGCAGCCGCGGUAAUACGGAGGAUGCGAGCGUUAUCCGGAUUCACUGGGCGUAAAGGGAGCGCAGGCGGCAUGGCAAGUCUGAUGUGAAAACCCGGGGCCCAACCCCGGGAGUGCAUUGGAAACUGCCAGGCUGGAGCGUCGGAGGGGUAAGCGGAAUUCCUAGUGUAGCGGUGAAAUGCGUAGAUAUUAGGAGGAACACCAGUGGCGAAGGCGGCUUACUGGACGACUACUGACGCUGAGGCUCGAAAGCGUGGGGAGCAAACAGGAUUAGAUACCCUCGUAU
rnacentral:rRNA from 1 species